rnacentral:lncRNA from 1 species
GCAGCAGUUCAUGGCAGUUCCACACUCUCUCACCCAUGAUCUUGCGGUUUCCUGCAGUUUAUUAAGAUGCACCAAUCAGAAUGCAUUAUUAGAACAUGGGUCCUAGAAAAGUGCAAGUUAUCAAUUGACGGUUAGAAGGGUGUUCCUUAUUUUCAGGAACUUAGUGGGGUAGUGGACACUUAACUGAAUAGUUUGCUGGCUAUAUAAUACGGAUAAAGAUGAAAGCAAUGGAGCAUAUAAAGAUGAAAGCAACAGAUCUAAAUUCCAGGGUAUUUUACUUGAUAAAUUGUUUUGAUACUUUUACCUACUAAUUUGAGAGUUUCCAGGGUAUUUAACUUGAUAAAUUGUUUUAAUACUUUCACCUACUAAUUUGAGAGUUUCAUUUCAUACCAGGUUGAGCCAAAAAAGGCCUUGCAACUGAUGAGAACGUUGAGACCUGCAACCCGUUUACCAGUCCGUUGACAUCCGACUUACACUGUGACCUGAAAGUGAAGAUAUGGGGUUAAAAAACACUACCUCUGCUGUCUAAAUGGAAGAUCAUCAUAAAAAGAACACAAAUUAGUUGGCACAAAGGUACUCUUUCCAUCAUAUUACACUUUCAGCUUUGAAACUCUUUAACACCUAAAUUCUUAGGUCACUAAUUCGAAUUUCAAGCCAGAAUAGUGAACCACUAAUAGUUUCACCAGAAAACAGAUCCUACGCUUGAUGACAUCAAGGAAAAUAGUAAUGAUGUGCAAAUCAUUGAGUACGGUUGCCAUUUUAGUCAAUACAAAUUUCAACUGCAUCAUGAGUUUAGUGUGA